rnacentral:misc_RNA from 1 species
GUUUUGCGGGCGAGGGACGUUGUCGGUUGUCUGUGUGGUUCUACCCUCAGGGGAAUAACAUUCUUGUUUCAUGAUGGAUUUUCGCUUGCACUGUCGGUAUUUUUUUUUAUCGUCGGCGCAGCCGAUUUGUGGGCUAAAUACUUGGGGCUGCAGCGGGUGUACGCACCUGUACUCGCACCUGAAUUUUGCCGGCUCUUGCGGAUGCAGUGUUCAUCGAGGAAUUUGUUGGCCUUUGGUCCCCUGAUUUCCUCGGGAGGUCCCUUGCAUGGAUCGUUGCCCUGCCGCUCUGCUAUCUUGUCUCUUUGUCGGGAUGUUGUGGCGGUGCGUGCGGGGCGUGCUCUUGUGCGUGCGAGAUGUUUGCCCGAUCGAAUGAGCGACUGCCGGUUCACGUCUUGUGAGCGGACUCCUAUUUAUUUAGGGUUUGCCGCGUGAUGUGUCGGCGCUCGUUUAAGACGUGCUACCUGGUUGAUCCUGCCAGUAGUCA